rnacentral:rRNA from 1 species
CCUACGGGAGGCAGCAGUGGGGAAUAUUGCACAAUGGGGGAAACCCUGAUGCAGCGACGCCGCGUUAGUGAAGAAGUAUUUCGGUACGUAAAGCUCUAUCAGCAGGGAAGAAAAUGACGGUACCUGACUAAGAAGCCCCGGCUAACUACGUGCCAGCAGCCGCGGUAAUACGUAGGGGGCAAGCGUUAUCCGGAUUUACUGGGUGUAAAGGGAGCGUAGACGGCAGCGCAAGUCUGGAGUGAAAUCCCAUGGCUUAACCAUGGAACUGCUUUGGAAACUGUGCAGCUAGAGUGCAGGAGAGGUAAGCGGAAUUCCUAGUGUAGCGGUGAAAUGCGUAGAUAUUAGGAGGAACACCAGUGGCGAAGGCGGCUUACUGGACUGUAACUGACGUUGAGGCUCGAAAGCGUGGGGAGCAAACAGGAUUAGAUACCCCAGUAGUC